UAAAACUUUCAACAACGGAUCUCUUGGUUC
rnacentral:rRNA from 1 species